UACGUAGGGGGCAAGCGUUGUCCGGAUUUAUUGGGCGUAAAGAGCGUGUAGGCGGUUUGGUAGGUCCGCUGUGAAAACUCGAGGCUCAACCUCGAGACGCCGGUGGAAACCAUCAGACUAGAGUCCGGAAGAGGAGAGUGGAAUUCCUGGUGUAGCGGUGAAAUGCGCAGAUAUCAGGAAGAACACCCGUGGCUAAGGCGGCUCUCUAGUAUGGUACUGACGCUGAGACGCGAAAGCGUGGGGAGCGAACAGG
rnacentral:rRNA from 1 species